UACGGGGGGGACUAGCGUUGUUCGGAUUUACUGGGCGUAAAGGGCGUGUAGGCGGGCUUAUAAGUCGGAUGUGAAACCUGGCGGCUCAACUGUCAGCCUGCAUCCGAUACUGUAGGUCUUGAGUACGGGAGAGGAGAGCGGAAUUCCAGGUGUAGCGGUGAAAUGCGUAGAUAUCUGGAAGAACACCCGUAGCGAAGGCGGCUCUCUGGCCCGAUACUGACGCUAAGGCGCGAAGGCUUGGGUAGCAAACAGGAUUAGAUACCCGUGUA
rnacentral:rRNA from 1 species